rnacentral:rRNA from 1 species
AGUGAACGCUGGCGGUAGGCCUAACACAUGCAAGUCGAACGGCAGCACAGUAAGAGCUUGCUCUUACGGGUGGCGAGUGGCGGACGGGUGAGGAAUACAUCGGAAUCUACUUUUGCGUGGGGGAGAACGUAGGGAAACUUACGCUAAUACCGCAUACGACCUACGGGUGAAAGCAGGGGAUCUUCGGACCUUGCGCGAUUGAAUGAGGCGAUGUCGGAUUAGCGAGUUGGCGGGGUAAAGGCCCACCAAGGCGACGAUCCGUAGCUGGUCUGAGAGGAUGAUCAGCCACACUGGAACUGAGACACGGUCCAGACUCCUACGGGAGGCAGCAGUGGGGAAUAUUGGACAAUGGGCGCAAGCCUGAUCCAGCCAUACCGCGUGGGUGAAGAAGGCCUUCGGGUUGUAAAGCCCUUUUGUUGGGAAAGAAAAGCAGCAGGUUAAUACCCCGCUGUUCUGACGGUACCCAAAGAAUAAGCACCGGCUAACUUCGUG